rnacentral:rRNA from 1 species
UACGUAGGGUGCGAGCGUUAAUCGGAAUUACUGGGCGUAAAGCGUGCGCAGGCGGUUUUGUAAGCCAGAUGUGAAAUCCCCGGGCUCAACCUGGGAACUGCAUUUGGGACUGCAAGGCUAGAGUACGGCAGAGGGGGGUAGAAUUCCACGUGUAGCAGUGAAAUGCGUAGAGAUGUGGAGGAACACCGAUGGCGAAGGCAGCCCCCUGGGUCAAGAUUGACGCUCAUGCACGAAAGCGUGGGGAGCAAACAGG